UUUUGGUGUUAUCCGAUGACUUUUUCUUCGCUUGAUGGACGGUUUGGGUAACGUUUCGGCGUCUAUAACCUUACUCCGGUGAGUUUCAGAACCUAGGGUUUUCCGGUGUUGGACCUAGGGUUUUCUCUGUUGAUUGAAGGCCAAUCUUCUCCGUUCGCGAAGAAGGAGGGUAACUCUGUCCUUAUUUUGGGUAUUGUAUGCUUUGUGUGUGACUAUCUGGUUCCAUAUGUGAGUAUCUGGUUCCGUUAUAUUUUGCUUGUCGAAACUGUUUUUCUUUCAAGCUGGUUCAUUAAUCAUGGCUUCUAAUUCCACUGCUGGUACCUCCUCCUCGGUAGACUCUACCAUGGCUUCUUUGUACUAUAUUGUACAGUGUUUACAAUAUAGUGCUUAAUGAUGAGAAACAGAGACAAGUUCAAUCUAUUUCUCA
rnacentral:lncRNA from 1 species